UCCUCCCUUCUCCCUUCUCCCUUUCUUUUAAGGUAGUUUUUUUUUUAUGUUUUUCAUUUGUUAAAACUAGUCCCUAUGCUUUUUUUUUUGAACAAUUUAAUUUUUUCUUUUUAUUCUUUAUUUGUUAAAGCCAAAUAUCCUUGAUUACAUACUCUGUGUAUAAACUCAAAGACUGUUUUUGAUCACUUCAAGAUGAAUAAAUC
rnacentral:lncRNA from 1 species